ACAGGAAAACAUUUAAAUGUUCCUUUAAACUAUAAGAUGGUUUCAGCUGUCAGUCAGCACCACCCUUACACGUGGAGGUUGUAAGGCUGUUAGAAACCACGUGGUACUUGUAAGAUCUCAUAACUUGCCAUUGUUCUGCAUCAGCCUAACAGAGCACCACUUCUCUCCAGGUUCAGGAGAGAAACCAUCACUGCACACGAUGCUUUUCCUCCCAGCUGCUGCUCUGUGCUGUCUGUGUUCAGCAUCACUUCUCCUGAGAUUCACCAGAGGAAACGUCACUGAACACAACGGUUCACACAAUGCUUUUCCUCCCAGCUGCUGCUCUGUGUUGUCUGUGUUUAGCGCUGGUUACCAUGGCUGCAGAGCUGAUGCAGAAAGAUUUAACUUUGACUGCGACACCUGGCAAAAAAGUCUCCUUCAGCUGUGGAACUGCCCAGUGCAGUGGCAGCUAUGUGCACUGGUACCAGAAGAAAGACGAUGAUAAGUUCAGAGUGAUUCUUCAUAUUAACGUACGCACUGGUGAAGUCGACAGUGACUACAACCAUGCUCAGAAAAAAGAUUUCUCAGCUGUGAAAAACGAGAACAGCUGUGAGUUGGAGAUAAAUGCAGUUAGCCUCGUUCAUUCAGCCAUCUACUACUGCUGCUGUGCUCAAAGCUCUCACAGUGACAAAAGAUCCCUGCAGACUGAACAAAAACCAUCAAAGGAACAGCAGCAGACCACAGACCAGGUUCACACACACACUGACACAGGCAUCACCUUUAAAACCAUAACAACUAGUUUGUAUUCUAUUUAUAUAAGAAGUAAAAAUAAUCAAGACCAAAAUAAAUUCA